AAACUUUCAACAACGGAUCUCUUGGUUCUGGCAUCGAUGAAGAACGCAGCGAAAUGCGAUAGUAAUGUGAAUUGCAGAUUUCAGUGAAUCAUCGAAUCUUUGAACGCACAUUGCGCCCUCUGGUAUUCCGGAGGGCAUGCCUGUUCGAGCGUCA
rnacentral:rRNA from 1 species